rnacentral:lncRNA from 1 species
UUAGCUGUAAUUGGUACACAAAAUGGAAAGAAGACACAGGAAGUGAUGAAAAUGAAAGGUCUUUAAAAAUGCCAAGAACUUCCUGUGAAGGGGCUUUGAGGUCUUUUGUCUUCAAUUUUACUUUGGAGGAGCUCUGACUAAGAACCUUGGACUGCUUCUACUUUCCUUAAAACUACCAUGUGAGGUUUGUUUUGGUGAGCACCUGACAUACCAAGGCCAAAGAAUGAACAAGUUUAUUCACAGGUCAGUGAGG